rnacentral:rRNA from 1 species
AUUGAACGCUGGCGGCAGGCCUAACACAUGCAAGUCGAGCGGAUGAAGGGAGCUUGCUCCUGUAUUCAGCGGCGGACGGGUGAGUAAUGCCUAGGAAUCGGCCUGGUAGUGGGGGAUAACGUCCUGAAACGGGCGCUAAUACCGCAUACGUCCUGAGGGAGAAAGUGGGGGAUCUUCGGACCUCACGCUAUCAGAUGAGCCUAGGUCGGAUUAGCUAGUUGGUGGGGUAAAGGCCUACCAAGGCGACGAUUCGUAACUGGUAUGAGAGGAUGAGCAGUCACACUGGAACUGAGACACGGUCCACACUCCUACGGGAGGCAGCAGUGGGGAAUAUUGGACAAUGGGCGAAAGCCUGAUCCAGCCAUGCCGCGUGUGUGAAGAAGGUCUUCGGAUUGUAAAGCACUUUAAGUUGGGAGGAAGGGCAGUAAGUUAAUAUCUUGCUGUUUUGACGUUACCAACAGAAUAAGCCCCGGCUAACUUCGUG